rnacentral:lncRNA from 1 species
AGCCAUGAAGAGAAAGGUAUUUCUGACAAUCCUGUAUCUCACGUAGCCCAGCACUGUGAAUUAGUUACAUACUCAUAGUCUAUAAAAUGUUUAACAAGCAUUUUUUUAAAACAUAGGAUAGUUUCAUGAACAUACUGUGCUCUUUCUCCAUGCUGCUGAAAUACAUCUCUGAUUGAUCAAUAGAUCAUUCAAAACAUGUUUAUAGAACAUCCUGCCAUAUGCCUAACAUAUGACCAGACAUUAUGAUAAAUUUACAUAAAUAUAGAAACAGUGUUAUCUUUUUUUGUACUUGUCAUCUAAGUGACUUCAUUUUCUUUACAUCUUGUUUAUGUAAGAGGUAAUUCUUUAGUUAGUUCUUGCUUCCCCUCUGCUUUGGUUGAUCAGAAAAGAAAGUUAUACAAUAAAAUAACAGCUUAACAUUAUUUAGCUUACAAAAUGAAGCAGAAUUCUUAGAGUGGUGCCAUCUUUAUAGAAAUAUAACUUUCAUUUCAACUGCAAAGCUGUUAGUGAUAUUAAAUAGAAAAGUAAAACAUUGGAGUAGAAGUAUUUGAGUUGUAACAUUAGAUUACUUAACUUUGUAGCCUAAAUUUCUUGGCUUCCAAAAAUGAUUCAUAAGAACUGACCUACAUGAUGAUGGUUUGUGAAAUUUGGAAGAAAUAGAUUUUAAAUAACACAUUUAUUCUCUUUGCUAUUAUUUUGGUAGACAGUUACAUAUAAUUUUCAAAUCUUGAGGUUUAAAAAUUUUGAAGUUCCUGUUGUGGCUCAGCUGGUUAAGGACCCGACAUUGUCUUUGGGAGGAUGCAGUUUUGAUUCCUGGCCUGGCUCAGUGGGUUAAGGAUUUGACAUUGCAGUAAGCUGUGGUGGAGGUCACAGAUGUGGUUCAAAUCCUGUGUUGUUGUGAUUAUGGCAUGGGUCCCAGCAUUCCAAUUCAGCUCCUGGCCCAGGAAUUUCCUUAUGCUGUGGGUGAAGCUGUAAGAAGAAAAAAAAUUUUAAUAUACCGCAGAAAUGACAAUGUAAAUAAAUAGAAACAUGUAUUAGGAAAAAUAAAAACCUGACCCAAUCUCAGCUUUGUAGAGUAGCAUAUUGUAUAAAAAUAAUUAUUCAUUCAUAAUAAGCAAAAUCCUGAUAGAAAUAUGAAGUCGGAUUAUUUUUGAUAAGUCUUUGGAAAUAGAUUAUGAAUGCUUGAUUGCAUGUUUCUAUGAAAAUUUAAUUUUUUUCACAAAAAAAGGAAAAAGGGCUUUUUGAAUCUUCACCAAAAGUGAACUCUCAAGCGUCAUAAUAGGAGAAAGGCAUUUUGAUGAUUAUUUUGUCUUGUUGAAUUUUUAGAGCAGCUAGCUAAUUGAAUCAAAUUAGUUAUAAAUAUUCAGAAUCCCAACCCAUUUUUAGUUCUCUGUAAUGUUUGGUUAAAUGACUGUGGUAAGAAACUCUUCAACAGUAAAGUUGACAUCAAGCUAUAAACUUUCCUAUGCUGAUUUAAAUACAACUGUCAAAAUGUGAGUUGAAUAAAACAAUCUAGCAUCAAUUACUGUCUAAUAAAAAUUUCUCAAAUGCUACUUCGAACCUAUCAUGAACAUUUCAGUUUUUAGCAAAAUACCUUUUGGCAUUUUGUGGCAUUUGCACUUAUUUGUUGGCUUAAAACAUUUCUCCGAUUUAUAGAUCUAGACACUCUAAAUUGUAAAUGUAUGCAUUAUAUAAUUUAUAUGGUAUAUAUGACAAAUUUUAAUUUAUAAUUAAAUCUAUUUUGUAAGUAAAUGUAUUAUAUUAGCUUACCAUGCUAAUUUAAAUUUAUUAGUAUAUAUGGAAAUAUUUAUAUUAAAUAUAGAAAUUAUAUAUAUCUAAAGUGACACAAUUGUAAUUAUGUGUAGAUAAGUAUUACACGCACACACCAUAUAUGUCUGAAGUCACACAGAUGUAUUAGAUCAUGAUUUGAUAUAAUUUCAGGAAUGAUAUUUUCAAACCUCAAUUUAAGACAAAUGUAAUUAUGUUAUGUAGAUACAAGGCCAAAGGUAAUUAUAGUUAUGUAGAUACAAGGACAAACUAUUUGAAAUAAAGCCUGACCCAGGAUAGUAAUUUUUCUAGAAAGAUUGAAACUUUUGAGAUUUCAGAAGUUCAAUGAAUGUUUAUGGACAGGAAGAAAACUGUCAGCCUUCAGGCAAAUAUGGCACACAAAAAUGUUUAGAUUGGAUGGUAUAGUUAUUCCCCCCAAACUUUUCUCUUUUCAUUUGACCUUGUUUUGGCAGACCAUGUACUCUCCACUUUGUCAUAGGUCCUCCCCUCCCUACUUGACUCUGGAAGCUUUGACUUUGGGCACCUUAGAGAGGGGACCCUGUAUGCACCCUGUAGCCAUAACUUCCCUGUAGACCUACGUGUGCCAGAGAAAGAAACAAGCAGCAUGUUUCUCAGUAGAGACGGAGUUACCACUUGAGUGGUCAACCAGUUAUCAACCAGUAAGUAAGCACGAACUUGUACUAGUCUCCUGUUAGACUGCUAUUUAGUUGAUGUGAGAGUAAAGCAAAGAAGUAGAAGGUCAAAUUUCUGAUAUUCCUGGCAUACAGUUUGUUUGUUGAGAAAGGGAAAGAAACAACCCUGUAAAACAAUUAAUAUUGAAAGAGCCUAGAGGUACAGGAAAGAAAGAGAAAACAGUGUAAUUGUUAAGCAUGACCUUUACCCUUAAGGAGCUCCUUAUAGCUGCAAUGAGAAUCAGCAUAAACAUAGCUGGUAAAUGUGUAGUAUGAUGGUGGUGGGGUGUCAAAGGAGGGUGAGAUUACAUGGGCUGAAAUUCUUCAGGUAUCAGAGAGGAGGAAGGGCUUGAAUUUAAAUUAAAGGAUUGAUAUUUGCAUGUUCUAAGGAAAGGAAAGUAUUAAUUAAUCUUGGUGCUAGGAAUGAAAAAAAUAAGAAGGAAAUACAAAGCAAACUGUCUUCUUUAUGUCUUGAGAAACACCAGAAGAAAAAGAAGAAUUAUCUUAUUUAUCAAAUCGACACCAGCCAGUUGAGGAAAGCUGUGAGUUAUUUUUCACUGUGCCCGUAGCAUGUGGAAGUUCCUGGGCCAGGGAUCAAACCAGAGCAACAGCAGUGACAACACCGAAUCCUUAACUACUAAGCCACCAAGGAACUUCCUAUAGUAGCAGUAAUAUAUUGAACAGUUACUUUGUGCUGGCCAAAGUACUAAAUGCUUUGACAUUGAAAUGCACCAUAAGUCAAAAUUCAUUUUUUCAAUUUUGUAAGUAAGGAAAAUGAGCCUUAGCCAGAUGAAUUUAUUUGCCCAAGUUAACAGUAUUUAUAUAGAAGACAGCCUGGAUUCUUACCUCUCCUUAUCUGACUCAAAAACUAUUCCUAACCCAAAUCAUUAUGUGAUAUUGCCUCAACUAAAUGUGAAGAUAUUCAUUUUCCAAUUAAAAAUAAAGAAAGAUUGAUCUCAGUCAAAUUUGAAAGGGUAAUCUUUAUGCAAUUAUCCAGAAUAUUUAGUUGUAUUCUCACUUGUAUAUGAAUAUAUAGCAGCAAGGUUAUACAGUUUUAUUACUUAGAAAGAACUGUUAUACACUAUUCAUUCAUCAAUUACAGAAGAUUAAUUGCAGGAAAAAAAUAACAAAAAAUGCCUAUUAAGUAGCAGACAUUGUAUUUUUUUUCCUGGGAAUGCAGUGAUAGUUAGAGUGCACUUCUUUUCACAGAGCAGUCUAGGUAAGUGGAUGAUGUUACAGAAGAUAUCUUUAGGGUUUGCCCUUUUUUAGCAUUGAAAACUCAGACAUGACCAUAUGCUCAGGAUCUUGAUUUUUGAAUGUUGUUCCAGAUAGUUUAUUUUAGUUAUAUCUAUUUUUUUAAAUAAAAAAACAACUGUUGUCUGUUGAAAUUUCCAGGCUCAAUAUCUUUUCCAAAAAAUAACUUGGGUGGCAUAAAUGAACACAAUUAUGUUGAUUUUUCUAGCAUUUAAAGAUUAUUUUUAUUUCUGGAGAUUUAUUAUUCAUUAGGAUUAAUACAAUUAAUUACUUCAAAGUUUAAUUUUGAAUGUUUAUACUCAUAUUUCCUCAGAGAACUUUAAUAUUCUCAAAGCAAAUGUCAUCUGAAGGCAUGUCAAUUAUCAUUAUUAUUGGAAACAUUUGCAUUUUUAAGUCAAAGGGUAGAUUAAUUGACUAGAAUUUACUUACUUUUCAAAUAAAAUUAAAACCCUUCUUUUAGAACCAAUAGCUGAAUUCCCUUAACUAAAUAUCAAAAUAUUUUAAAUAUAAUUUUUCUCUUUAUUAUUGAAAAAUGACACGAUGGAAUUACAUAAGAAAUUGAAACUAAAGGUCAAACAUAAUAUUCUUUGGUAGGCCUUUUAAUUUGCCUAAAUACAAUCUUAUUUUUAAGAAUAUCAUUAGAUUUUCAUUUAUAUCAUAUUAUUCCAUCUUGCCCUUAGGAGUUUAAAUCUUGUUGAGGAGAUGAUAUAAAAGGUGACUCCUUAAAGAUCAAUUGUGGUUUAUGAGGCCUGUUUGAAUUACAGAAAUUAUAGGGAAGGUGAGCCCACAUGGCAGAAGAUACCCUUUGUGAAAGCAGUUUUGAAGAGUAAGCUCUUCCUAGGCUGUCUGUGGUUAGCUAUAGUUAUUCACAGAAAAUACGGAUCUAAGGGAAACCCUAAUAUAUUUAUUGCCUUUCUGAUAUGAAAAAGGACAAAUAUAAUAGCUUGGUCUGCAUGGCUAAAGAGCAGGAAAGAACCAAAUAAAAGACACUGACUAAAUCAUAGAGUAUUAGAGCUGCAAGAGACCAUCUCUCCAGUCCAAUGUUUCUUAAAGUGUGAUCCAAGGACCACCGACCUCAGCAUAAUUAGGGCCUCUUAUUGCAAAGUUAGACUCCUGAGCCCUAACUCAGACCUGGUGUUGGGUUCUACUUAGGAAUCACUCUCUUUCUCUCUCUCUCUCUCUCACACACACACACACGCACACACACACACAUGAUAUAGUAAAGGAUAGAACUUUAGACUUUUCCAAUUCCCUUUGCCCCUAUCAGUUUCUAAGGUUUAUAGAUUAUUUUUUGUCCAAUGUUUUUUCAUAGAGAGCCAUCCCUAUUUUCCAUUGGUGUCAUCAUCAUUCUAGUUCAGGUCUUUAUCAUCUUAUGCAACCCUGCUAACUGGUCUGUCAAAUAACACAGAUUUUUCAGGUUUUAGUAUAUCUAAUGCAUGACUAAAAUAGUAGUUUCACUAUAUUAUCCCUUGCUCAAAAACUUCUACAGUUUACCGUUGCCUAGAGAAUGUCCACCAAACUUGAAAACCCAUUAUUAUUUGUCUUUCAUAUAGCCCUGUUUUCUCUUUCUUGCCUAUCAUUAUUAUCUACCCAAUGUGAACAAUUAACUCUCUACUCAAAACACCAUUUUUGUUUGCACCAGUGCUGUGAUUAAUACAUAACUAAUAGUUCCUACUCUCCUUUUUUUUUUUUUGCUUUUGAGGGCUGCACUCAUUGCAUGGCAUAUGGAGGUUUCCCAGGGUAGGGGUUGAAUCUGAGCUACAGCUAUCAGCCUACACCACAGCUCAUGGCAAUACUGGAUCCUUAACUUAACCCACUGAGCAAGGUCAGCGAUUGAACCUGCAACCUCAUGGUUACUAGUUGGAUUAGUUUCCACUGCGCCACAAGGGCAACUCCUACUCUCCUACUCUUAAGAAACAUUCAUUAUAGUUUACAAAGCAAACUGCUGUUUGUAUGACACUGAAAAUCAGUCACUAGUUCCAUACAUAUUCUGGAGAAUUCUCUUGUCAUAUCAUGAGACUGAAAAUUCAAUCCAAAUAUAAGGGAUCAUUUUUUUAAAAGCCGUUUAAGGGAGUUCUCAUCAUGGCUUACCAGGUUAUGGACCCAACGUUGUCUCUUGAAGAUGCAGGUUUUAUCCCUGGCCUCACUCAGGUAACAGAUACGGCUUGGAUCCAGUGUUGCCUUGGCUGUGGUGUAGGCUGCAGCUGCAGCUCUGAUUCAACCCCUAGCCCAGGAACUUGCAUAUGCUACAAGUGCAGCCAUAUAAAGAAAAGAAAACAGAAAGGGAAAAG